GUACACUCCUACGGGAGGCAGCAGUGGGGAAUUUUGGACAAUGGGCGAAAGCCUGAUCCAGCCAUGCCGCGUGCAGGAUGAAGGCCUUCGGGUUGUAAACUGCUUUUGUACGGAACGAAACGGCCUUUUCUAAUAAAGAGGGCUAAUGACGGUACCGUAAGAAUAAGCACCGGCUAACUACGUGCCAGCAGCCGCGGUAAUACGUAGGGUGCAAGCGUUAAUCGGAAUUACUGGGCGUAAAGCGUGCGCAGGCGGUUAUGUAAGACAGUUGUGAAAUCCCCGGGCUCAACCUGGGAACUGCAUCUGUGACUGCAUAGCUAGAGUACGGUAGAGGGGGAUGGAAUUCCGCGUGUAGCAGUGAAAUGCGUAGAUAUGCGGAGGAACACCGAUGGCGAAGGCAAUCCCCUGGACCUGUACUGACGCUCAUGCACGAAAGCGUGGGGAGCAAACAGGAUUAGAAACCCUAGUAGUCCUAUGAU
rnacentral:rRNA from 1 species